AGUGAUGUUUCGAUGCUUUUCCACCCCAAUAACUUUUCAGCUCCUGCAUCAACUGCAUUUACCCCAGAAGCAUCUCUCGUUCCUUCCCUCACCACAGGUACAAAUGAUCUGCAUCUAUUAUUCAUUCCAGGAAAGUCUAAUUGGGAAUGAAAUUUGAAAAUUGGAGAUGAAGAAAAAGGGGAACUCAGGGCAGGGUGGAAUGGGAGACGUACCCUCAUGGGGACCCUGGUGACACCGGGAUGUUGAGUGUUCCUUCCAGAAAGGGAGAGCUCAACAGCUGGGUGCCUCUGAGUGUGCUGAUGCACCCAAACUUCAGACAUGGAGGAUUCUUUCUGUUCUCCACUGCAGCCACUGGCCACAGCCUGGAAGCUUUCACACUGAACUUCACCACCACCAACCUGCUCUACACAACAGAUGUGGAAAACACUGGUUCCAGUAAAUUCAGCACCACAGAGAAAAUGCUGCAGCACCUGGAAUAGCAGCACUGGCUCCCUCUAGUCUGAAUGCAGAGUGACAUCUUUGAGGUGAGAUCCCAUAAUCUGAGGGUUGUUUUGAUGAGGGC
rnacentral:lncRNA from 1 species